CCAAACUUGGUCAUUUAGAGGAAGUAAAAGUCGUAACAAGGUCUCCGUUGGUGAACCAGCGGAGGGAUCAUUAUAGAGUUCUCCAACUCCGAAACCCCUGUGAACUUACCUAUGUUGCCUCGGCGGAACGCCUCCCGCGUGACCUACCCUGUAGUGACAUACCCUGUAGUGACCUACCCGGUAGUGACCUACCCGGUAGUGACAUGCCCUGUGGGAGGUGCCCGCCGCUGGCCUUCUGAACUCUGUUUUAUCGUGGCACUUCUGAGGAUUGUUUCUAAAUGAAUUAAAACUUUCAACAACGGAUCUCUUGGUUCUGGCAUCGAUGAAGAACGCAGC
rnacentral:misc_RNA from 1 species